rnacentral:tRNA from 1 species
GGAGGGUUAGCUCAGCUGGUUAGAGCGUCCGCCUCACACGCGGAAGGUCAACGGUUCGAGUCCGCUACUCUCCA